GUAGGUGAACCUGCGGAAGGAUCAUUAACACAACUUAUUAUUAUCCAAUAUCAAAAAAAAAACAAAACCAAACGCGCAUUUAUCUCCACCCUAUAUCGAUUUUCCGGAGACGGAUCGAUUAGGCUAAAAAUCUUUUUUUUUUACAAUUUUAACCCCAUUAACUUAUAUUAUGUAAUAAUAAUAUAAAACCAACUCUUUGAUUCUUCUUAAAACAAGAAACAAACUAAACUAAAAUAUACAUUUGAUUAUA
rnacentral:misc_RNA from 1 species